GACGAACGCUGGCGGCGUGCUUAGCACAUGCAAGUCGAACGGAAAGGACCUGCUUUUGUGGGGUGCUCGAGUGGCGAACGGGUGAGUAACCCGUGAGUAACCUGCCCUUGACUUUGGGAUAACUUCAGGAAACUGGGGCUAAUACCGGAUAGGAGCUCCUGCUGCAUGGUGGGGGCUGGAAAGUUUCGGCGGUUGGGGAUGGACUCGCGGCUUAUCAGCUUGGUGGUGGGGUAGUGGCUUACCAAGGCAUUGACGGGUAGCCGGCCUGAGAGGGUGACCGGCCACAUUGGGACUGAGAUACGGCCCAGACGGCUACGGGAGGCAGCAGUGGGGAAUAUUGCACAAUGGGCGGACGCCUGAUGCAGCAACGCCGCGUGCGGGAUGACGGCCUUCGGGUAGUAAACCGCUUUCGCCUGUGACGAAGCGUGAGUGACGGUAAUGGGUAAAGAAGCACCGGCUAACUACGUG
rnacentral:rRNA from 1 species